rnacentral:rRNA from 1 species
UGCGUAGGCGGUCCGGCAAGUUGGGCGUGAAAGCCCUCGGCUCAACCGAGGAACUGCGCUCAAAACUGCCGGGCUGGAGGGAGACAUAGGUGAGCGGAACUUAGGGUGGAGCGGUGAAAUGCGUUGAGAUCCUAAGGAACACCAGUAGCGAAAGCGGCUCACUGGGUCUCUUCUGACGCUGAGUGCACGAAAGCUAGGGGAGCGAAGA